rnacentral:piRNA from 1 species
UAGUCUACCUGGACUGACUAUCCUCUGACA